CAGCUCCCCUCCUGCCACAUUCUAUUCACCAAGGCAGUCACAGAGGCCCUCCCAGUUGCAAGGGUAGGUGAUGAUGCCCAAAACUAUGUCUCUGGCCCAUUCCUCUCUCCUAAAUUCUGGAUCUGAUCACCCAAUGGCCUAUUAAACAUGUCCACCUAAUUGGUUAUCAAACUUCCUCCAGGUAACGUAGGCUCAACACAUCCCAUGCUGAACUCACCGUCUCUGCCCUGUUCCUCCUCCUGAGGGAAAGUUGUUCUUCCAGGUCACAGAGCUAUUUGUUCUAUUCUCUCUCUGGACAUGUAUCUACCUCUUUUUCUGCCCAAAAUAUGUGCUUUCCCAAAUAUUUCGUGCAGGCCAUUCAUUUCUUAUGUCCAUAUUAGAUAUGGAAAAAUCAAAUAUCAUCAGGUAAGGAUGGUGAUCAUAUUCCAAAAUAUCAGGGAGGUUUUUGCAAGGGAAAAAAUUUAUUUACAUAAUUCUGAGGCUAUGCCACAGGAAACUUGGUGAAGUAGAAAAAUGCCACUAUGGAAAGGUGGAAUCAGAAAGGUCAUGGGAGAGAAGGCCAUCACGCUAAUGACUCCAACCAGUGCUUUCUUGGUUCUUACCAGACCCAUCCUACAUGCUCAGUCACAGCUAAGAGGGGUCCUGUGGCCUGUUCUGAUCCAACUCCAGGAGAAAGACGAGUUCCUGGGAGCCUGUGCGAUCCUAACAACCGACAUCUUGGGGCCUACCGCAUGUCAAAUCCCAUCCGAGAACAGCUCCCCACUCUCAAUAUCAGAAAGAGAAAGGACGGCAGAGGACUCGUGCGAUCCCUUCCCAGUCUCCCCACCCCCACCCACAUCAUAUUCUGCACACAUGCUGAAGCAUUAGCAUCGGCUGAUUUGGAAGGAAUAUUGGAAAUGAAGUGAUAGCAGAGUAAAUGUCAAUGCAUUCAGUGUGACACCGUGAGCACCAGAUCUUAAACAGCUUCAUCAUUGUGGCAUUUACUGUAUCCUGAAAUAAUAUUAAUCCCACUGUUGUCCUUCUUGAUGGAAUCAUCCAUGAAUAUGGUUUAUGGGCCUGGCCAAAGUGAUAAUAGGUUAAAAGAACAGCCUAUCCAGUGUUCCACUAAAUUAAGGUCGCUUCAUGGAAUUUAAUGAAACAAGUGCUGCAUGGGGUUUUCAAAGGACGUUCUUGUAAUUCAUGUCUAUUUAGGGCUCCUGAUAACCAGAAACCUAAUUUCUUAGAAUAAAAUAGCUUUUCAAAAGCCUGGUCAUAUAGAAGAAUAAAAAAGAAAAAACUUUAAAGGGCAAUAAUAAGCCCCAACUGUAAUAUUUUGUUAUUUCAAAUCCAAAGUUUAAGCAAAAAAAAGUUGGGAGGGAGGCAAUGAGACAUUCUGAAUAAAACCAAAUAUGAAAAUUAAUCAGAUUCGUGCGUCAUUCUGCAGUUGAGUGCUGAAAUAAGGAUUUUGUCCUAUCCACGCCCUUUAGUCACAUACCUAGGGAAACAAAAAGAUCUUGGAAUACAGAGAAGACCACAGCACACUGGAAAUGAUGAGGAUUGAAAGAACUGUUCAGACUUUGAGAAUGGCAGGGGGAAGACAACAACAGAUGUUCCAGAACACCUAAUUCUAUUUCACUUGCCAAGGCUAGACAGGGCUCAAGAGUUUAAACCUUCUCUGAAAAAGCCAUAAACUUAGACUCAUGUGCCUGGAAGAAUAGGAACAUUCUAUUGUCCCUGCCAAACACCAAGCCAAAAGUAUGAAACAAUCAC
ensembl:lncRNA